rnacentral:ribozyme from 1 species
AACAAGUUUUACAUUCUGACCGAACUGGUAUGCCUCAUGAAAGAUAACAUAGGCUCUCUACAACCUAUUCUUACUCAAUACGUCUUCGGUAUACAGAACAAUAACAUUGCUCUCUAAAUAUCUGAUCGUGGAACCCUCGGAAUGAUGGGUCACAUGACUAAAUUGAAAGAA